rnacentral:rRNA from 1 species
UACGUAGGGUGCGAGCGUUGUCCGGAAUUACUGGGCGUAAAGAGCGCGUAGGCGGCACGGUACGACCGGUGUGAAAGCCCCCGGCUCAACUGGGGAGGGUCACCGGUAACGGUCGAGCUAUGAGUGCAGGAGAGGGAAGUGGAACUCCGGGAGUAGCGGUGAAAUGCGUAGAGACCCGGAGGAACACCAGUGGCGAAGGCGGCUUCCUGGUCUGCAACUGACGCUGUGGCGCGAAAGCUAGGGGAGCAAACGGG